rnacentral:tRNA from 1 species
UGACUCCGUAGCUCAGCUGGUAGAGCAAAAGACUCUUAAUCUUUGGGUCGAAGGUUCGAGCCCUUCCGGGUCAC